AGUACGUGAAACUGCUUAGAGGUUAAACCCGAUGAACCUGAAUAUCCAUUAUAGAAAAUUCAAUACUAAUAAUAUAAUAUAUAUCAUAUUGUAAAAAUAGUGUGCAAUUUUUCUAUAUAAGGACAUUGUAAUCUGUUAAUGUAAUAAAUAUUUAUCAAAAGAUUCUUUACUUAAGUUUAUUCAAAUUGUUUAUUUUCGGAUAUUCAACAUAAAAUAAAUGUAUUGAAUUGGAUAAAUCAUUGACAGAUAUAAUUAUAUAUGGUGCUUAAAUUUUAUGGAAUUUUGCAAUAAUUAUUAGUUCUAUUGAUCUAGUAAUUUAUUUGUUUGCGCUAUUAUGAUUAACAAUGCGAUAGAUUCAGGAUACCUUCGGGACCCGUCUUGAAACACGGACCAAGGAGUCUAACAUAUGUGCAAGUCAUUGGGUAUUUUUAAUAAAACCCAAUGGCAUAAUUAACUUAACUUUUAUUUAAUGGGAUUAAUUUAUAAUUUAUUAUGAAUUAUUUAUUCAAUCCCGGGGCGUUCUAUAUAGUUAUGUAUAGUAGUAUUUAUAUUAUUUAUACCUCUAACUAGAGCGUACCUUGAGC
rnacentral:rRNA from 1 species